GUCUAUGCCAGGCAUGCUGGCGCAUUCAGGAAAUGAGGAGGAUGUUGUGGAACAUCAGGUCCCAUCACAGGUGGUCUCAGCACCGUCAGUUACCCUCUGUUCAUCCACACAUACUCUCUGCUACACUGCUGUUAGCAUAGCCUAUUGUGAAUGCUAGGGCUAGUUAGCAUCGCCACUAAUGCCUGAAACGAUUUUCUUGUAGCAGUGAGUUUUUCUCUGCCAGUAACACAUUCAGAAGUGAGUACAUAAAAUUGAUUGACAGCGCUAACACCUGCCUCCUGCCUCUCAUUGGCUGUUUUUGGUGGGGAGCAGUGCAUCAGGGAGGAGAUUGAGCUUUUCACAGAUUAUCUGUCUCAUAAACUCUCACAACAUGAUGACAGCUUUACCAAAUAUGGAGAUUUUUUAUU